rnacentral:rRNA from 1 species
AUUGAACGCUGGCGGAAUGCUUUACACAUGCAAGUCGAACGGUAGAGGGGCAACCCUUGAGAGUGGCGAACGGGUGAGUAAUGUAUCGGAACGUGCCCAGUCGUGGGGGAUAACGUAGCGAAAGUUACGCUAAUACCGCAUACGAUCUAUGGAUGAAAGCGGGGGAUCGCAAGACCUCGCGCGAUUGGAGCGGUCGAUAUCAGAUUAGGUAGUUGGUGGGGUAAAGGCCUACCAAGCCGACGAUCUGUAGCUGGUCUGAGAGGACGACCAGCCACACUGGGACUGAGACACGGCCCAGACUCCUACGGGAGGCAGCAGUGGGGAAUUUUGGACAAUGGACGAAAGUCUGAUCCAGCCAUUCCGCGUGCAGGAUGAAGGCCUUCGGGUUGUAAACUGCUUUUGUACGGAACGAAAAGGCUCUGGUUAAUACCUGGAGCUCAUGACGGUACCGUAAGAAUAAGCACCGGCUAACUACGUGCCAGCCGCCGCAGUAACAC